UUUCCCUGGGGAACAUUUAUACUGGUGCACCUUUGUGAGAGCAGGUGGUGAAAUGUUUGGUGCAUUUCACUGGAAUUCCUUCAUGGAAGAGGAGACUCUCAUUCAGACAUAUUCAGCUCAUUUGGGAUUCUGGAGACCCAACCGGUGAAGCUGGAGUCUCAGAUCUAUUAAUCCAGACGCUCCAGGCAGCCCGGGGGUCCCGCUGCCUCCACCAGAGUCCCAUGACUGCGUCUCCAUGGUUACCGAGGACACCCAACAACCAGGGGAGAGAACGCCUAAUUACCCAGAAAGCAACAGUGAAGUGAAGCCUCUCGC